UGAAUGUUAACAAGGUCAAUUCUGAUGUUAAUGAAUCGCCUGUUGUGUUUCAUUCUUUUAUCUCGCACUGGAAACUGAUUCAGCAAAUAAUUGUGUAAAAAUAUUUAAUGUCUCGAGCUCCUCCUAAACAAGCAAGAACCAACCAGAUUUCCUUAUUCAAGUGCCUAGAUGGUGCUGGUGAGCACUGAGAGCUGUGGGAAUGGUACAAAACUGCAGACCUCACAGUUUCAGCUCACAUUCAGGGGUGACAGGUAAAAGGAGUGCUCACAGUCAGUUCUCAUCAUGCGUGACAGGACUAAAUCAUUAUGAAUACACUGAACACUGAUUUUGGGGACAUCAAGUCUCUCUAACUGCUGUGGAUCUUUGCUUCUUACAGAAAAGGCACAAUCUCAGCAGCUGGUCAUAUUAAGACAUCCGGAGCUGAAGGAGCAUUGCUUAAGCUGACCCAGGGAUUGAGAGAUGAAUCUAUGGUCUAUAUUUACCACUGUCAGAACCACUACUUCUGUCCUGUGGGCUUUGAAGCUACAUCAUUAAAAUCAGCCAAAGCUUACAGGAGACCACUUGCUCUGAAUGAAAUGGAGCAUUGCAUUCUUAUUGGGGAACCAAGCAGGAAACAUCCUGCCAUCCACUGUAAAAAGUACCUUUUCCUUUUAUUAUUCAAGUGCAUAUGAUGAUUAGUAAGUGUGGGUUACUUUGUGUCAUUAUGUUCUCCCCAUGUCUGCAUGGGUUUCCACAACCCCCCAGUAAAAAAAACCUAUACUGGUAGGUGGAUUGGCUACACUACACCCACUAAGUGUGAAUGUGUGUGUGUGAUCCACCACCCAGGGUGCAUUCUUGCCUAACGCCAAGUGUUCCUGGGAUAGGCUUCGGAUCCAAAGACCUUCUGACUAAUCAGAUUCAAACAUUUUAAAGUUGCUACUGCUAAUACUAUUUUAUAUUAAUAAUAUAGUAUUAAUAUAUUAUUCAUUCGUUAUUUUCUUAGUAAAUGCUGACUUAUUAGACCAUCUGUCAUUUUGUGGGCUAUGUCUCAGAGAACAAAAUAUACAGUUGCAGUCACGGGUGUUAAUCUAGAUGCCAUGCAGCUGUGCCCCACAACACACGCUGGAGUGAUGCAGAUGCUACUGACUCUUACACAACUCUUUAACUGUCAAACAUGAAAAAACAGAAAAGCGUGAAGAGCCGUUUAAAAGGCCUUGUGCUGUGGUUAGAGUUCUGCUGGAACAGAGAAGCAGCUUAAAUACACAGAACAAAUUUACAUAACAUUCCUCAACUGUAGUUGAUGAGUCUAAUUCUAAAAUGAUAAGUUUAACCUCAAGCUAAUGGUAGUGAUUGAAGAGAAAAUCAAAAUAACUUUUUAGGAAUAUUUGAUCUGAUUUAUUGAUAUAUUUCCACAAAGCCUUCUUCCAAUGUCAUUCAUUGCAUUGCAAACAUUAAACAAUUACUUCAGGGCACAGUGAAGACGUGAUAAUGUUCAUCACAAGAAAAGUGAUACUGCUUAUUUUUCACACGAAAACAUGAGGAAACUGAAAGAUUUACAGUCUUUAUAGUCUUGAAUGUAUAAUUAUAGUCAAGCUAUUAGUUCUUAACAGCAUUCAAAACAGUGUUACUAUGAAUUCAGACUUUAAUACAUUAAAGUCACAAUAUAUUAUAUAUUAUAUGUAUAUAUCUGCCCACGUUUGACAUUUUUCCUCCAUUCUUUUGAAUGUCCAUGGAAUAAAAUUAAAUAUCAGAUGC